GGCGGUUCUUGGGUGAUGCACCCUGGAAUCAGGCUCCCUCCUCUCUGCUUCUGGGUGCGUCACCCUAGAAUUGCU
rfam:Myotis brandtii contig270695, whole genome shotgun sequence.